rnacentral:lncRNA from 1 species
GAGGUCUUAGUGAUGCUCAGAUAGAUGCACGGAUUGAGGCUUCCUUUGCAUUAUGGUACAAAGAUUAUGUAAGCUUUAACUCCUGUUUGUGCGAAUAGAAAUUAUUUGUUCAUGUGCAACAUAAGUCUAAUACAUUGUUUUUGUAAUUUAUGAUUAAGUGCAUAAUCUAUGUAAUAUGAUACAAAAUCAACACUUGAAUGACUUAGUCUGAGGUCCCAUGAGAGUGAUAAAA